rnacentral:rRNA from 1 species
ACGGAAGGCAGCAGUGGGGAAUAUUGCACAAUGGGGGAAACCCUGAUGCAGCAACGCCGCGUGAGUGAAGAAGUAUUUCGGUAUGUAAAGCUCUAUCAGCAGGGAAGAUAAUGACGGUACCUGACUAAGAAGCUCCGGCUAAAUACGUGCCAGCAGCCGCGGUAAUACGUAUGGAGCAAGCGUUAUCCGGAUUUACUGGGUGUAAAGGGAGCGUAGACGGCAUAGCAAGUCUGAUGUGAAAUCCCCGGGCUCAACCCGGGAACUGCAUUGGAAACUGUUAAGCUAGAGUGCAGGAGAGGUAAGUGGAAUUCCUAGUGUAGCGGUGAAAUGCGUAGAUAUUAGGAGGAACACCAGUGGCGAAGGCGGCUUACUGGACUGUAACUGACGUUGAGGCUCGAAAGCGUGGGGAGCAAACAGGAUUAGAUACCCUGGUA